UACGGAGGGUGCAAGCGUUAAUCGGAAUUACUGGGCGUAAAGCGCACGCAGGCGGUCUGUCAAGUCGGAUGUGAAAUCCCCGGGCUCAACCUGGGAACUGCAUUCGAAACUGGCAGGCUUGAGUCUUGUAGAGGGGGGUAGAAUUCAGGUGUAGCGGUGAAAUGCGUAGAGAUCUGGAGGAAUACCGGUGGCGAAGGCGCCCCCUGGACAAAGACUGACGCUCAGGUGCGAAAGCGUGGGGAGCAAACAGGAUUAGAUACCCUGGUAGUCCACGCCGUAAACGAUGUCGACUUGGAGGUUGUGCCCUUGAGGCGUGGCUUCCGGAGCUAACGCGUUAAGUCGACCGCCUGGGGAGUACGGCCGCAAGGUUAAA
rnacentral:rRNA from 1 species